CUUGCCUGGAGGCCAGCCCCGCCAAGCCGGCGCCAUCGCUGGAAGCGUUCCCGCCCUGCUCUGCGAGUGCCCUCAGUUGUCCUCAGUUCGGCAGCCAGAAUGCCUUUGUAGGACUCCACUCUUGCCAGAGAGGGGAACACAGAGGAAGAGACUAUGGCUGCUAUGGUUUUUACAGUUGGACCUCUGAAUCCUGAAGAUUCCCAGCCAGAAGAAGAUUUUCACCUUCAGGCAGAAGAACCAGAACUGGUAAAGGAUUCUGUGACAUUUAAAGAUGUGGCUAUAGACUUCACAUUAGAAGAGUGGAGGUUGAUGGACCCUUCACAGAGGAACCUACACAAGGACGUGAUGCUAGAGAAUUAUAGGAAUCUUGCCUCCCUGGGCCUUGCAGUUUCCAAACCAGACAUGAUAUCUCAUUUGGAGGAUGGAAAAGGACCAUGGGUGGUAGUAAGAGAACUUGCAAGAACCCCUUAUCCAGAAUUGGAGACCAUACCUGCAACCAAGAAUGCUGUAUCAACAGAGGAUAUUUCUGAAAAUGUAUCACAAGAGACUAUACUAGAUAAGCUCACAGAGAAUGGUCUGUGGAACUCCAGAAUGGGAGGAUUAUGGAAAUGGAAUGAAAGGAUAUUGAGAUUGCAAAAUAGUCAGGAAAAUCAUUUGAAUCAAAGAAUAGUUACUCACAAGAAAAUUCCCUCUGGUCAAAGAGGCUUUAGAUUUGAAUCUAUUAUUUUUCCUGAAGCAGGAGUUAUCACAGAAGAACUCCACAGCAAAUGCCAAACACAUGACGAUUUCCCUGAGAAUUUAGAUUUGAUUACAGAUCCCCAUCUGGGGAAGAAAAUUUGCAAGGAUACAGAAAGCAGCAAAGCCAUAAGGCCUACUUCAGAACUUACUUUAGGGAAAAAAUACAACAAUAGAGAAAAACCCUAUAAAUGUAGCACUUGUGAAAAGUCCUUUCGUUAUAGAUCAUUACUCAUUCAACAUCAGAGAACUCACACUAAGGAAAAACCUUAUGAAUGUAGUGAAUGUGGGAAGAUGUUCAGCCAGCCUUCAUAUCUUAGUCAACAUAAAAAAAUUCACACUGGAGAAAAACCCUAUAAAUGUAAUGAAUGUGGAAAAGCUUUCAUUGCUUCUUCAUCACUUAUGGUGCAUCAGAGAAUUCAUACUAAGGAGAAACCUUAUCAAUGCAAUGUCUGUGGAAAAUCUUUUAGCCAGUGUGCUCGCCUUAAUCAACACCAGAGAAUUCAAACCGGAGAGAAACCCUAUAAAUGUAGUGAAUGUGGGAAAGCCUUCAGUGAUAAGUCAAAACUUGCAAGACAUCAGGAAACUCACAAUGGAGAGAAACCCUACAAAUGUAAUGAUUGUGGGAAAGCCUUCAGGAAUAAGUCAUAUCUUAGUGUACAUCAGAAGACCCAUACUGAAGAGAAACCAUAUAAAUGCAAUGAGUGUGGGAAAUCUUUCAAGAAUACCACAAUUUUUAAUGUCCAUCAGAGAAUUCAUACGGGAGAGAAACCCUUUAGGUGUAAUGAAUGUGGGAAAGCCUAUAGAAGUAAUUCAAGCCUUAUUGUACAUAUAAGAACUCAUACUGGAGAAAAACCCUAUGAAUGUAAUGAAUGUGGGAAAGCAUUCAAUCGUAUAGCAAAUUUCACAGAACAUCAAAGAAUUCAUACAGGGGAAAAACCUUAUAAGUGUAAUGAAUGUGGGAAAGCAUUCAUUAAUUAUUCAUGCCUUACUGUACACCACAGAAUGCAUACAGGGGAGAAACCUUAUAAAUGUAAUGAAUGUGGAAAGGCCUUCAUGCGUUCUUCAUCCCUAAUUAUACAUCAGCGAAUUCAUACUGAAGAGAAACCUUACCUAUGUAAUGAAUGUGGGGAAUCUUUCAGAAUAAAGUCACACUUAACUGUACAUCAGAGGAUUCAUACUGGAGAGAAACCAUAUAAAUGUACUGACUGUGAGAGGGCAUUUACCAAAAUGGUAAAUCUCAAAGAGCAUCAGAAAAUUCAUACUGGAGUGAAACCUUAUAAAUGCUAUGAUUGUGAAAAAUCUUUCAGGACUAAGUCAUACCUUAUUGUACAUCAAAGGACCCAUACUGGAGAAAAACCAUAUAAGUGUAAUGAAUGUGAGAGAGCUUUCACUAAUACAUCACAACUUACUGUACAUCAAAGAAGGCAUACUGGAGAAAAACCUUAUAAAUGUAAUGAGUGUGGGAAGGUUUUCACAAGUAACUCAGGCUUUAAUACCCAUCAGAGAACACAUACUGGAGAAAAACCAUUUAAAUGUAAUGACUGUGGGAAAGCAUUUAGCCAGAUGGUACAUGUCACAGAACAUCAGAAGAUUCACAGUGGAGAGAAACCCUAUAAAUGUGAUGUCUGUGGAAAAGCCUUUAGGAGGGGUUCAUACCUUACAGUGCAUUGGAGAACACAUACUGGAGAAAAACCCUAUACGUGUAAGGAAUGUGGCAAAGGUUGUAUCACUCUAUCGCAGCUAACUCUACAUCAGAGAAUUCAUACUGGGGAAAGGCCCUAUAAAUGUGAAGAAUGUGGAAAAGCCUUCAGAACCAACUCAGACUUUACUGUACAUCUGAGGAUGCAUACUGGAGAAAAACCCUAUAAAUGUAAUGAAUGUGGAAAAGCCUUUAGGAGUAGCUCAAGCCUUACAGUACAUCAAAGAAUACAUCAAAGAGAAACUCAGCUAAUAUAAAGAUUAAUAAAUCAUUCAUCUAGAUGCUAACUCCACAGGAAGAAUCAUAAACUGUGUCUUUUAUGAAUGUGGGAAAACCAGGUGUAAAUCACCAGAAAAUACACACUUAAGAGAUACUUGAGAGGGAGCACCUGGAUAGCUCAGUCAGUUAAGCAUCUGCCUUUGGCUCAGGUCAUGAUCCCGGGGUCCUGGGAUUGAGCCCCAGAGCAGGCUCCCUGCUCAGCAUGGAGUCGGCUUCUCCCUCUGCCCCUCCCCCUGCUCGUACUCUCAUGCUCUUCUCAAAUUUUUUUGGAAAAGAUACUUUAGAAAUAUAAGAAUGUGGUAAAGCAUACAAUCAUAUAAAUGUUAGUUCUAAUAAAAUUCACAAUAGAGAAAAAUAAUGGACAAAUGAAAGUCUUCAUCCAGGUUUCAUACUUUAUUCACUUAAAAAGUUAUCUUCAAAGAAUUACCUAUAUAUUUUUUGCCUGUUUUCUAUUGGUUUGUCUUUCUUAUAAAUCUGGAGGUGCUUUUUAUAUAUUUGAAAUAUUAAUCCUUUGUCAUGUGUGUUGCCAAUUUUUUAAUCUAGUGAUUGUCUUUAUGCUUUUUUAUAUAGUAAAAGAAAUUAACAUUUUAAUUUUUCAUAAUGAGAUAUUUAUAUAUUUUCCUUUUUAGAUUGUUAAUUUGCUCUUUUAGUUAAAAGGCUCUCCUUAAUCCCUAGGUUAUACAAUAGUCUCCUAAAUUUGUUUCUAAGAUUUUGGUUAUUUUUUAUAUUAAAGUCUAAUCUGUCUGGACUAGAUGGCUAAUCAUAGAAGAGUAAAUGGCCAUUCAUCUCUGAAAAUGUUAUGAACCUAAGUAGUACUCAGGGAAAUGCAAAUUAAAACAACCAAUAAGACGUAACUUCCACUUCAUGGAGUUGGCAGAAAUGAAGUGAUCUUUUGCUAGUGGACUUGGGGAAAACCUCUUACAAAAAGGUUAUAUCAACUCUUAUUUUUUAAAAAAAACUCAUAAAAAGGUUAUUUAUAUCAACUUGUAUUUCCACCAGCAAUUCAGUAGUAUAUAUUUAAAAUUUUUUAACUUUAAAAUUAAAAUACUUUGGCCUAGCAGUCUCACUUUGGGAAUCUGCCCCCACAGAAAUAACAUCAUCAGUACACAAAAAUACACACAAUAAGAGGUUUUGUUGAAGUGUCAUUUACAGAGGCAAAGUUGAAAAUCAAGUGGAGAUAAAGUGAAUGCCAAACAAUGGGAUAAUGGUUGAAUAAGUUGUGAUAUAGCCACUCUGGAACAGCAUGAGAGUAAUUUUUAAAAUUAGUUAUAUUUACACUAUUGAUCUGAAGGUAUCUUAACAAUUUUUGAUAACCAAUUGCUUUAUUACAGAGCUUUAUGUGUACAAGAUUUCAUUUUUGUUGAUGAUCACACCCACUUAUGUAUAUAUGUGCGUCUGUGAUGAGCAUGGAAACAAGUAUAUAUACCAGAAGAAUAUAUACCAGGCUGUUGUUAUUGGUUACCUUGAAGAGAGGGAAAAGAGGAGUAGAGAGAGAAGUGGGGGGAAAGACUGGAAUUUUUUUUAAUGUAAGUGCAGCAUGUAUGGUACAAAACUCUAUGUAAAACUAUUUGUUUAGACUUUUGAGAACCAUGAAUGAAAGGAUGGUCUUCAAAAAGUUAAUGAUUGUUUUAGAGUUGGUGGAGUAUCCAGUAUUUUUUGUUUGUCUGACUUCUGCACUUUUCUGUAUUUCAAAAGUUUUUUUCCAAUGAGCAUGUGAUAUUUACAUAAACAGGAAAAGCCUAUUUUACUUGUGGAAAUAAUUUAUUGGAUACCUGUUAUGUACCAAGAAUUACCCUGAUAUAUUGUCAGGGUAGGGACAGUCAUGGGAAUCUAAGAGCAUGGGAAUUGGUUCUGAUGGUUCUGAUGAUUCCAAAGAAGUUAUCCAGCACCUCAUUCCCCCCACCCUCUUGGUUUCAUUUGGAGAAGGAAGUAAUUUCAGAGUAUCCAAGGGUAUCUGGAACUUGUGUCCAGGAUAUAGACCAGAAGCUUGUAAGCCUCAAGAGAAAUUCCACCUUCAACAUGGCACUGAGAAAAAGGUCACAAUGGUGAAAAGUUCCAUGUACACCCUCACAGAAUGUUGCAUGAUGGAUUGAUUAUAGGGGAGACAGCCAAAGAUACCCAAGUCCAUAAAUGAAGUCUGAAGUUCUGGAAAUACUAAGAGUCCUAGAACAGAAAUGAGAACCUAGAGGCUGCAGCCCUGAUACCAGAAAACCCUAACAGACCAUGGACCUGAUAUCCAAAAAGGACAAGACAAUGAGCUAUGUUUCAGUGGAGGCUGAAGAAAAGAGAAUCCAGUACCCCUCCCAUAAUGUUAGAAUAUAUGUAUCUAUUUAAUAUUGGGAUAGGGAUAUUGGAAAAAGAUACAAGCUACCUUCCAUUACAAGUUAAUAAUUUGAUGCUUUAAAAUGACCAUUUCUGAUUGAAUUUUAAUAGUGGAAUACAUGAACUAUUACCAAGAGACUUUCCUCCUUUGGAUGUAAUAUACCAGUUUCUGAUUGGAAAGUUUGAGCGUUAAACCAUGAAAUACUACCCAGCCAAGCAUUUCAAGAGGAGCAUGGUCAGCAAGUUCAAAUGACAUAACUGAAGAGUGUCCACAGGGUUAGGGGAUGGAGAUGACAGAGACCACCUUUACUAGAGCAAUUUCAAUGGAGAGGAAAGGCGAAAAAACCUGAUUCUGGUGUGUAGCAAUAUCUCAUUAUAGGUUUAAUUUGAAUUUCCUUUGUGACUAAUGAUACUGAAUCUCCUUUUAGGUGCUUAUUGGCUUUUUGAAUAUCCUCUUUUGAGAAGUGCCUUUUCGAGACUUUGGUCCAUGUUUUUUCAUUGGAAACUCUUUGUUCAUUUAUAGGAUUCUUUCUGUAUUCUGGGUGCAAGGUAUUUUUUAGAUACUUGUGUUGUAAACAUCACCUCUCCAUCUCCAGCUUGCCUUUUCACUCUCUCAUGAUAUCCUUUGAUGAAUAGAAGCCUUUAAUUUUAAUUAAGAACAACUGGUCAACUUUUAUGAUUAGUGUUUUCUGUGCUCAGUUUAAGAAAUUUUUUCCCAAUCCAAAGUCAUAAAGAUAUUUUCCUACAUUCUCUUCUGUAUGUCCACUGUUUUACUUUUCACUUUUAGGUCUAUAAUCCAUCUAAAGUUAAUUUUUAUGUGUGGUGUGGGGUAGAGGUUAAAUUAUUAUUUUCCAUACAAAUACAUAAUGUAUUUGACAUCAUUAAUUGAAAAGACCAUUUUCUCCCCUCCCCCUUGUGUUGUAGUGAUAUUCUUAUGAUAAGUCAGAUGAUAAUAUGUGGGACUCUAUUUCUAAACUAUUCUGUUAUCCCAUUUAACACCAAAUGUUCUUAGUGUAAACAGAUUUAUAGUAAAUCUUGGCAUCUGGUGGUAUGCAUCAUCUAAUUUUCUUGUUCAAAAUUGUCACUGCAAUUUUAGGUCCUUGACAUUUUCACAUAUAUUUUUUAAUCUUUUUUUUUUCAAUUCUUCCAUACUGAAAAAGUUGAUAUUUUAAUGGGCAUUACAUCAAAUAUAUAAUUUUGGAAGAAUGAACACUUUAACAAUAUUAGACAUCCAGCCUAUGAGCAUGCUACAUCUUUUCAUUUACAUACAUCUUUUAAUCAGGAAUUUUUGUAUUUUUUGAAUGUAGAAAUUUUUAACAUUUUUGUUAAGUUAGUCCUAUGUAUUUAGUGUUUUGAUGUUAUAAAUGUUAUUUAGUUUACUGAUUUCUACCAACAUAUUCAAUUUAUUUGAAUUUCAAAUAUAUUUCAAAUAUAUACAGUUGAUCCUUGAGCAACACAGGUUUGAACUGUGCAGAUCCACUUAUACACGGAUUUUUUUCAAUAAAUACAUUGGAAAACUUACUGAAGAUUUGCAACAAUUUGAAAAACAGUGAACCACGUAGGCUAGAAAUAUUGAAAAUUUAAGGAAAGUAUAUCAUGAAUGCACAAAAUUUAUGUAGAUAAUAGUCUAUCACUACCAUAAGACAUACACAAACCUAUUAUAAAAGUUAAAAUUUGUCAAAACUUAUGCAUGCAAGCAAGCAGAGCAUACGUGACACCAUUUGCACUUGAGACAAAUGUAAACAAAGAUGCAGCAGUAAAUGAAAAUUAACUGUAGUACAUACUGUACUAUAAUAAUUUUGUAGCCAUGUUGCUUUUGCCUUAAGUUCAAGUGUUGUGUCCACUUAAAACGCUGUGUGACACUGAUCAUCAAGGAGCAGUUCAUCUCUGAUAAAUUGUAUAUUACAGUAAAAAGUCACCCGUCAACAGUUAACAUAUUUUUCAUGUUUAAUGAAAUACUAUAAACCUCAAAUAACACCACAGGAUCCAUAUGAAAUGCCACUAAUGAUGAUGGAAGUGCUCCCUAGGAGCAGAGAAUUUGUGAUAUUAUAAGAAAAAUUAUAAUUGGGACGCCUGGGUAGUUCAGUGUUUGAGCAUCUGCCUUUGGCUCAGGGCAUGAUCCCAGGGUCUUGGGAUCAAGUUCUGAAUUGGGCUCCCCAUAAGGAGCCUGCUUCUCCCUCUGCCUGUGUCUCUGCCAAUCUCUCUGUGUCUCUCAUGAAUAAAUCAAUAAAAUCUUAAGAAAAAGAAAGAAGUUGAAUUGCUUGAUAUGUACCAUAGAUUGAGGUCUAUAGUUGUUGCCUGCCAUUUCAAGAUAAAUGAAUCCAGUAUAAAGAUCAUUGUUUAAAAAAAAAAUAGGAAGCCAUUACUGCAGCUAACUAAAUGAGCAGGCAUGAAAAUUUUGCACUUUUUAUGAACUACUGUUUUAUUAUACUGAAAAUGCAGCUUUUAUGCAGGUGCAGAACUGUUAUAAGUAAGGCAUACCUAUAGACUAAUAUGAUUUGAGAAAAAGUGAAGUCUAUAUGGCAACUGUAAAAGAAAAAGAAGAUGAAGUAUCUAAAGCUGGAGGAUUUAAUACCACCAAUGUCUGGUUUGAUAAUUUUAGAGGUUUGGCUUUUAAAAUGUCAACAGAAGCAGCUUCUGCUCACCUUGAGGUAGCGAAUUAGUUCCCAGACACCAUUAAGGAAAUCAUUAAGAAGAAAGACUAUCAGUCUGAAAAAGGUUUUAAUGCAGACAAAAGUGCCUCAUUCCAGAAGAAAAAAAAAUUGCCACAAAGGACAUUUAUUAGGAAGAGCAGCAAGUACCAAAAUUUAAGGCAUCAAGGGAUAAAGCUAGCUACCAUUUUGUGCAAAUGUAGUUGGGUUUUUGGUCUCAGGCUGCCCUUCUCUAUAAAGCUGAUAACUCUUGAAAAGCUAUUUAACAGCUGCCAGUCUUUUGGGCUAUACAAGAAAGCCUAGACAACAAGAACUGCCAACUAUGCCCCACAACCACCACCACCCCCAACCGCCCCCCCCCCGCUGUUUUUUAGAAACUUUGUUUCCAUUGGUUCCAACAAUGCUUUGUCCCUGAAGUCAGGAAAUACAUUGCAAGUAAGGAACUGCCUUUUAAAGUUCUGGACAAUGUCCCUGCCCACCCAGAACCUCAUGAGUUCAACACCGAAUGUGUCAAAGUGGUCUGUUUGCCCCACACAGUAUCUCUAAUUCAGCCUCUAGAUCACAGGGUCAUAAAGACCUUUAACUCUCA